rnacentral:tRNA from 1 species
GGAGAGGUGUCCGAGAGGCCGAAGGAACGCGACUGGAAAUCGCGUGUAGUGCCACAAGCGCUACCGUGGGUUCGAAUCCCACCCUCUCCGCCA